AAGAGAGGUUUGAUACAACAAGAACUGCUAAUUCUUUCACCCUGGGUUAAAUUCCCUGGCUCACUUG
rnacentral:tRNA from 1 species